rnacentral:rRNA from 1 species
UACGGGGGGAGCGAGCGUUGUCCGGAUUUAUUGGGCGUAAAGGGCAUGUAGGCGGGCUAUUAAGUCAGUUGUUAAACUUAUCGGCUUAACUGGUAAUUGCAAUUGAUACUGGUAGUCUUGAGUAUGAGAGGGGACAGUGGAAUAUCAAGUGUAGCGGUGGAAUGCGUAGAUAUUUGAUAGAACACCUGAGGCGAAGGCGACUGUCUGGCUUUUAACUGACGCUGAGAUGCGAAAGUAUGGGUAGCAAACAGGAUUAGAUACCCUGGUAGUCCAUACCGUAAACGAUGGGUACUAGGUGUUUGAGUGGUUAGUCGCUUAAGCGCCGUAGCAAACGCAUUAAGUACCCCGCCUGGGGAGUACGAUCGCAAGGUUGAA